GUCUAUGGCCAUACCACCCUGAAUCCACCUAGUCUUGGAAGUUAAGCAGGGCUGGGCCUGGUUAGUACUUGUAUGGGAGACCACCUGGGAGUACUAGAUGCUGUAGGCU
rnacentral:rRNA from 1 species